rnacentral:rRNA from 1 species
AUUGAACGCUGGCGGCAGGCCUAACACAUGCGAGUCGAGCGGGGUUUUCGGACCUAGCGGCGGACGGGUGAGUAAUGCGUAGGAAGCUACCCGAUAGAGGGGGAUACCAGUUGGAAACGACUGUUAAUACCGCAUAAUGUCUACGGACCAAAGUGUGGGACCUUCGGGCCACAUGCUAUCGGAUGCGCCUACGUGGGAUUAGCUAGUUGGUGGGGUAAUGGCUCACCAAGGCGACGAUCCCUAGCUGGUUUGAGAGGAUGAGCAGCCACACUGGAACUGAGACACGGUCCAGACUCCUACGGGAGGCAGCAGUGGGGAAUAUUGGACAAUGGGCGCAGGCCUGAUCCAGCCAUGCCGCGUGUGUGAAGAAGGCCUUCGGGUUGUAAAGCACUUUCAGUAGGGAGGAAGGGUGUUGUGUUAAUAGCACAGCAUUUUGACGUUACCUACAGAAGAAGCACCGGCUAACUCUGUGCCAGCCGCCGCCGUAAUAC